rnacentral:misc_RNA from 1 species
AAGUCGUAACAAGGUUUCCGUAGGUGAACCUGCGGAAGGAUCAUUCACACUUAAAGGAGUCUGAGCAGUCAAAUGCUUCAUUCUCUGAUUCUCCAAACCAAAACCAAUAUGCUACUGCUCCAAAAUAAGGCUCCCUUUGCUCUCUUCGGAGGACAAUGUAGGAGUAGUGCUUGUUUCUGACAAGCAUGCCUAAUCAACUGAUUUUAUUACCCCCCGUCGUUGCUUGUGGAGCUUGCUCUGCUUGUGAUUGUCAUUGCUUGUGGAGCUUGCUCUGCUUGUGAUUGUCAUUCAGGACUAAGUCUGCUUCUCGUCGACUUAAGCACUCGAUGUGGAAGCAUGUUCGACCAUACGAAACACUACACUGUUGUGUGAAAAAUACAACUCUUUACAAUGGAUAUCUUGGUUCUC